rnacentral:rRNA from 1 species
UACCAGCACCCCGAGUGGUCGGGACGAUUAUUGGGCCUAAAGCCUCCGUAGCCGGUCCUACAAGUCUUCCGUUAAAUCCACCUGCUUAACAGAUGGGCUGCGGAGGAUACUAUAGAGCUAGGAGGCGGGAGAGGCAAGCGGUACUUAGUGGGUAGGGGUAAAAUCCGUUGAUCCAUUGAAGACCACCAGUGGCGAAGGCGGCUUGCCAGAACGCACUCGACGGUGAGGGAUGAAAGCUGGGGGAGCAAACCGG